rnacentral:rRNA from 1 species
GAUGAACGCUAGCUACAGGCUUAACACAUGCAAGUCGAGGGGAAACGAUAGAGAAAGCUUGCUUUUUCUAGGCGUCGACCGGCGCACGGGUGAGUAACGCGUAUCCAACCUGCCCACCACUUGGGAAUAACCUUGCGAAAGUAAGACUAAUACCAAAUGAUAUCUCUAGAAGACAUCUGAAGGAGAUUAAAGAUUUAUCGGUGAUGGAUGGGGAGGCGUCUGAUUAGCUUGUUGGCGGGGUAACGGCCCACCAAGGCGACGAUCAGUAGGGGGUCGGGGAGGAAGGUCCCCCACAUUGGAAAUGAGACACGGUCCAAACUCCUACGGGAGGCAGCAGUGAGGAAUAUUGGUCAAUGGGCGAGAGCCUGAACCAGCCAAGUAGCGUGCAGGAUGACGGCCCUAUGGGUUGUAAACUGCUUUUAUAAGGGAAUAAAGUGAGCCUCGUGAGGCUUUUUGCAUGUACCUUAUGAAUAAGGACCGGCUAAUUCCGUGCCAGCCGCCGCCGUAA